rnacentral:rRNA from 1 species
UACGUAGGGGGCAAGCGUUGUCCGGAAUCAUUGGGCGUAAAGAGCGCGUAGGCGGUCCGGUAAGUCGGUUGUGAAAACUGGGGGCUCAACCCUCAGAGGCCGACCGAUACUGUCGGGCUAGAGUCCGGAAGAGGCGAGUGGAAUUCCUGGUGUAGCGGUGAAAUGCGCAGAUAUCAGGAGGAACACCCGUGGCGAAGGCGGUUCUCUGGGACGGUACUGACGCUGAGACGCGAAAGCGUGGGGAGCGAACAGG